AACGAACGCUGGCGGCGCGCCUAAUACAUGCAAGUCGAGCGAGAAGACGUAGCAAUACGUUUGUAAAGCGGCGAACGGGUGAGGAAUACAUGGGUAACCUACCCUCGAGUGGGGAAUAACUAGCCGAAAGGUUAGCUAAUACCGCGUACGCUCCUUGGACUUCGGUCCAGGGAGGAAAGCGAUACCGUGGGUAUCGCGCUCUUGGAUGGGCUCAUGUCCUAUCAGCUUGUUGGUGAGGUAACGGCUCACCAAGGCUUCGACGGGUAGCUGGUCUGAGAGGACGAUCAGCCACACUGGCACUGCGACACGGGCCAGACUCCUACGGGAGGCAGCAGUAAGGAAUAUUGCGCAAUGGGCGAAAGCCUGACGCAGCGACGCCGCGUGGGGGAUGAAGGUCUUCGGAUUGUAAACCCCUUUCGGGAGGGAAGAUGGAACGAGCAAUCGUUCGGACGGUACCUCCAGAAGCAGCCACGGCUAACUUCGUGCCA
rnacentral:rRNA from 1 species